GGGCUUAACCUGGGAACUGCGCUUGUGACUGCAAGGCUCGAGUGCGGCAGAGGGGGGUGGAAUUCCACGUGUAGCAGUGAAAUGCGUAGAGAUGUGGAGGAACACCGAUGGCGAAGGCAGCCCCCUGGGUCGACACUGACGCUCAUGCACGAAAGCGUGGGUAGCAAACAGGAUUAGAUACCCUGGUAGUCCACGCCCUAAACGAUGCCAACUAGGUGUUGGGGAAGGAGACUUCCUUAGUACCGUAGCUAACGCGUGAAGUUGGCCGCCUGGGGAGUACGGUCGCAAGAUUAAAACUCAAAGGAAUUGACGGGGACCCGCACAAGCGGUGGAUGAUGUGGAUUAAUUCGAUGCAACGCGAAAAACCUUACCUACCCUUGACAUGCCAGGAAUCCUGCUGAGAGGCGGGAGUGCUCGAAAGAGAGCCUGGACACAGGUGCUGCAUGGCUGUCGUCAGCUCGUGUCGUGAGGUGUUGGGUUAAGUCCCGCAACGAGCGCAACCCUUGUCAAUAGUUGCCAUCAUUCAGUUGGGCACUCUAUUGAGACUGCCGGUGACAAACCGGAGGAAGGUGGGGAUGACGUCAAGUCAUCAUGGCCCUUACGGCCAGGGCUACACACGUACUACAAUGGUCGGUACAGAGGGUUGCGAUACCGCGAGGCGGAGCCAAUCCCAGAAAGCCGAUCUCAGUCCGGAUCGGAGUCUGCAACUCGACUCCGUGAAGUCGGAAUCGCUA
rnacentral:rRNA from 1 species